rnacentral:lncRNA from 1 species
AACAGAUCACGAACAAUGCACGGAUCAGUAAGCCGGCCAGCUGCGGGUAGCAAUGCCGGCGGGGAUCUGAAUGAUCUCAUCCUGAUCUAGGGGCACUUGGGCCCUCCUUCCUUGGUCUUCCAGUUGUUGUAGCAGGGGCAGGCGCCCUUGUUGCCGUAGAACCCGGGGGGCACGCAGAGGCAGGUGGCGCAGCACUUGUUGCAGAAGGUGAUGCAGGCCUUGUGGUACUGCGUCUGGGAGCACCGCGACGCGCACUUGGACGAGCACUCCCACGGCUUCAGGUUGCCCCUGCCGUAGCCGUUCCCGUUGCCGCUGCCACCGCCGUUGCCGUUGCCGUUGCCUCUGCCAUUGCCGCCGGCCUCCACCUCCUGCUGGACAAAACAGAAGACAGAGAAUUGAAUGAGCACAUAGCGCACACGGGAAAACGGCUGGAACUUGAAGGCUGAAAGGAUGAGGCCAGUGAGCUUACCACGGGGAAG